GUGAGCGACAAGAUCGGAUUUGUUAUUCAAAAAGCACACUCCGGCAGCAGUUCAGUGGGUGGAAUGGAAAGUGGUUACCCUGGGGACGAGCAGACCCAUUAGGAAGCUGUGACAAUCAUCCAGGAGAGAGAAAAUGAGGAUAGUAGUUGGAGGAAUGAGCAGAUUCAAAGACGUUUUGGAAGCAGAACUGAUGGUCAGGAGAGAUUCACUGGAUACAAACACUGAACAAAAGGAACAAUCAAGAAUGACGGUCAGAUUUCUGGCUUGGACAUCUAGGUGAAUAGUAAAUCAUUAAUCAAGAUGUAGCAUACUAAAGAAGUAGCAGAUUUGCAGAAUAUUAUGCGUACAUAUGGAAUGAGCUGAAUUUGAGGUGCCUCUGGGACUCCCAGGUGAAUAUACCAUAUGUGGUUAAUAUAUUUAGAAUUCAGAAGAGAGAUUAUAUCUAAAGAUUUAAGAGUAAUUGUGAAAUACUCUGUUGUUGAAGUUUUGACAAUCUCCAAAGCUACAAGAUCUGGGUACCAUUGCUUCUACCCAAUUCAUUUGCACCAUCUCUGAAGGAGGUACUAGCUCAAGCUUUGUUCCAAAGUACAAAUUAGCAUAGCAGCUCAGUAAACAAUGUCUCUGAGCUUCUGGAAAGAAAGAUGUUCAGUCACCAUAAGGCUCAGAAUUAAUGAAAAGUCACAGAAAUAAUAGCUCUAUUCUCCAGUUGCUUUUGAACCUCAAAUCACUCUUUGGCAACAAGGUAGAUUGAUAAACUUCAAGGUAAUUAGCAUCUAUAGUUGCUAAGCUGAGAUCUGAGUGACAUUGGUGACCUGCCAAAAGAAACAGUUGGCACCAGACUUUGUGAGUUGCCUUUCAUCAGCAAGCUUCACUUUAAAACACUGAAGUCCACCCCGCCUGUACCUGAAUUUCCCUCUUGAAACAAGUAACUAGUGCCAUCUUUCUCUUGAAUUGGCUGGCACUGCUGUGAUAUCAGUUAUCACGUGAUAUUCCAAAAGGCAAUUGUGAUCUCUGGCAUCAAUGCGUUGGCAAUCCACUUGGAGAAAAUGCAGUUUGAUGUUAAGCGCUUGGCAGUUUUUAUCGUAGCUGGAAUGAACAGAGGGUCCUUAAGGCACCCGGAAUACCACUGAGUACUCUGUAAUGCUACUCAAUGUCGAAACUAGGUGAGAAGUCCCAAAACCUCAGGUUUCACAAAAGCAGAGUUUCAAUUAUCAAAGCUGGCUAGAAUUGGGGAAUCAUCCAAAUUAACCACUAUAUUUUAUAAAUGAAGAAAUCUGUCACCAUUUGUCUGGGCAAAGAAAAAAGGGAUUGGAGCUAGAGUCUUCACUGGCUAAUUUGUUCUGGGAACCAUAGAAGUUAAACGGAUGCUGGACAGACACCAACUAUAUGAGAGACAUCAUGCAUUUUCUAAAUAUGUUGGUGUUCCUCCAUAUAAAUCCAGACUAUUUUGGUAUUGCUUCAUAAGCAAGUAUUCCAACUUAGAAAUGUUGAAAACCAAUAGAGAAGUAACAGAAUGCAGCAGCUCCUCCUUUCCUUUCCUCCUCUCACUAUGUCUGCAUCAGGUACUUCUCUGAUACAGUCUUCACACUGUCAUAAUUGACUAUGACCUUCCAAAAAAAGUCAACAAAGCAACUCACAGCCUACCUGCUGUAGUCUGUAUAAUUCACAUGCUGAAAUCCUAGUCCCCAAUGUGAUGAUAUCAGGAGGUGGGGCUUUGGGGAGGUAAGAAUGAAGCCCUAAUGAAUGGAAUUAGUGCCCUAACAGAAGAGAACCCCGAGAGCUCCCUCACCCCUUCUGCCAUGUGAGCACAAAGAGAGAAGACGGCCAUCUAUAUGAGCAAGGAAGUGGGCUCUCACCAGACACCAAAUCUGCCGGUGCCUUGAUUUUGGACUUGCCAGCCUCCAGAACUGUGAGGAAUAAAUUUCUGCUGUGUAAGCCACAUGCUCUAUGGAAUUUGUUAUAGCAACCUGAGUGGACUAAGACACUAUCCAGGUUUUUCUGAUAAUGUUUUCUCCCCUCUUUCCACCCUGACAGUACAUCUUUCUCAGUUGCCCUGUGUCACUAUCACCAGGCUGCUUUUGACUUAAAUAAUGGCAAGAGUUUAAGGGCUUUUGGGACAAUUAAUAUAUUUUCUAUUGGAUCUGUUUCAAAGACAGAAUAGCAAUUGUCUUAGAGAACAAAAUGGCACAAUCAUCAAAGUUAUGCAGUGGAGGCUUUUCUAUCUCCAGCUCAGAAGCCUUCCCUGCCCAGCUACACUUAGUCACCCUGGAUGCACGCUGCUCCCACAGUUGUCUUCCACUCACAGCUCCAACUGGAUGAAAGAUGAUGGGAAGGGACAUUGCUGGUCCAGGGAGUGACUCUUCCAGAGUGAAGAAAAAGAAAGUGGUUCUGAGAGCACUACCUAAGAAAGAUCUAAAGCUGUUUGGUAUGGCCAGAAGAAUAUGAUUUUCCUGAGUGACCUGUUGAACCAGUCUUAUUACUCUGUAGUCUCAAUAUAUAGAGCUGGAUCAUAAUUCCUCUCCCAGUACCAGGACAAGUGGGUGGGACUGUCUAACUCUCUAUCCCUCCUUCUACUCUUCAAACUGCAAGAUACUAUUUUGUGUGUCUUUUCUUUUUUGAAGGCUUCCCUUGAUGCUCAGCAUAACCUGAGCUCACCUGGAUAAAGGCAUGGUUUAGGAGAGGGUACCCGGAGAAACAGUGCCCUGGGUCCAGAGCUUCCAGGACAGGGCCAGGCGGCAAAGCUUAAUAAGGAAAGACUCGUCUGAUAUAAAUAAUUUAAGAGACAGAAUUCACAGUGGCCUGAAUAGAAAGUGAAAAUGCAAGCAUGCUGCUUCUCAUGGAUGGCAAAAAACACUGGCAUGAAAAGUCUUGUUUUCUGGUUAAUGAAUUAAAGAAAUAAUCACAAAUGGGAUAUAGAUCCAAGUGACCACAUCAUGAUUCACUCAUUUGUCCAUGAUGAAUAAAUUAUCUGUUUUAUGACUGAGUCAUUCCCCAAUGUGACAUUAAAGUACCGAAAAUUGUUAGGGAUUGUUCUUUCUAGAGAAAGAUGAUGCUACUGAGCCACCAAUAAUGCUCAAGUGAGCUCAGUGAGAAAAGAUUUGCAACAUAACAGAUGAGAACUAUUUGCAUGUGCUGAUCUAUAUUUAUGAAUCAGAGAACAUCCCAGGGGAGUUUUAGCUUCACUAGUAGGGGUUUUCAAUCCUCAUCUCUAUCACAGCAAUUCCCAUACUGUUACACACAAGAAGGAAUACACAGGUUUGAUGAAACUCAAAAAUAACUAGUGUUUGAUGCUUCCUCUCCCAUCUUUAAAAAAAAAAAAAAGCCAGUUUUGCCAUGGCAAUCCUUUAAAAAAAGAAUUACAAUUGCGUUAGAGAUAAAAUCAGAUAUUGAAAUAGCACACACACACAUACAUACAACCUAUUGUAUCAAGACACACAAAGAAAAGGGAAAUAUUAUGACUAAUUUUUAAACUAAAUAUUUUCAAAAAGAUUCUCAAUAUGUCUAUAUUGCCAUUCUCUAGGUAAUAAUAAACUGAACAAAUACGUGGUAUGACAGCAGCAGAAGUGAAAUGCAUUUUACCAGUAAAAUUUUACCUGGGGUGAGGUGGGGGGAGUAAACUGAUGUGUCUAAGAGGAAGUAUCUUGUGUCUCAUCUGCCAUAAAGGAUAACUACAAAAUCUCUAUCUAAAAGAAAAAAAGAGAAAAAAACAAAAACAAAAACAAAAACACUAAACGUUACAAAUGGAAACCAGUGAAGCCAGGACUUGAAGUUUCUAGAUCCUGAAUCCUUGAAGAUUGAGUCUUGAUUGCAGAAAGAAGGGAAAUACUUUGAGGUGAGCCCCACAAGCCCUCGGGGAGUAGGCUGGGUUUUGGCAUAGAGCAUGGAAGCAAAACAGAAAACAGUGGCAUAGGGUUUAUAGUGCUCUCACUGCACUGUAGAGAUAAAAAUCAAAGUUUUAAUUGAGGAAAUUGGAAAAUCUUUGGAAAUGAGUGACAUGUGUGCAAUGUAGGAAGAGUAGUGCUUAAAGAGGAAAUUUUAAAGCCUUAAAUACAUCCACUAGAAGAGGGAGAAAAAAGCUAAAAAUCACACAUGUUAAAAUAUAGUAAAAGGAGAUCAUGAACAACUUUAUAUUAAUUAACUUCAUACAUUAAAUUCCUUGAAAAAAGCAUUACUUACCAAAAUUGAUACAAAUAAAUAAAAAAUCUGAAUGAUGCCA